rnacentral:tRNA from 1 species
GCUCCUGUAGUCUAGUGGCCAAAGAUACUGCCCUCUCGCGGCGGUGACCCGGGUUCGACUCCCGGCAGGAGCA